rnacentral:rRNA from 1 species
UACGUAGGGCGCAAGCGUUGUCCGGAAUUAUUGGGCGUAAAGAGCUCGUAGGCGGUCUGUCGCGUCUGCUGUGAAAUCCCGAGGCUCAACCUCGGGCUUGCAGUGGGUACGGGCAGACUAGAGUGCGGUAGGGGAGAAUGGAAUUCCUGGUGUAGCGGUGGAAUGCGCAGAUAUCAGGAGGAACACCGAUGGCGAAGGCAGUUCUCUGGGCCGUAACUGACGCUGAGGAGCGAAAGCGUGGGGAGCGNACAGGAUUAGAUACCCUG